rnacentral:rRNA from 1 species
CCUUAGAGUUUGAUCCUGGCUCAGGAUGAACGCUAGCUACAGGCUUAACACAUGCAAGUCGAGGGGCAGCAUCAUCAAAGCUUGCUUUGAUGGAUGGCGACCGGCGCACGGGUGAGUAACACGUAUCCAACCUGCCGACAACACUGGGAUAGCCUUUCGAAAGAAAGAUUAAUACCGGAUGGCAUAGUUUUCCCGCAUGGGAUAAUUAUUAAAGAAUUUCGGUUGUCGAUGGGGAUGCGUUCCAUUAGGCAGUUGGCGGGGUAACGGCCCACCAAACCAACGAUGGAUAGGGGUUCUGAGAGGAAGGUCCCCCACAUUGGAACUGAGACACGGUCCAAACUCCUACGGGAGGCAGCAGUGAGGAAUAUUGGUCAAUGGACGAGAGUCUGAACCAGCCAAGUAGCGUGAAGGAUGACUGCCCUAUGGGUUGUAAACUUCUUUUAUACGGGAAUAAAGUUAGCCACGUGUGGCUUUUUGUAUGUACCGUAUGAAUAAGGAUCGGCUAACUCCGUGCCAGCAGCCGCGGUAAUACGGAGGAUCCGAGCGUUAUCCGGAUUUAUUGGGUUUAAAGGGAGCGUAGGCGGGUUGUUAAGUCAGUUGUGAAAGUUUGCGGCUCAACCGUAAAAUUGCAGUUGAUACUGGCGACCUUGAGUGCAACAGAGGUAGGCGGAAUUCGUGGUGUAGCGGUGAAAUGCUUAGAUAUCACGAAGAACUCCGAUUGCGAAGGCAGCUUACUGGAUUGUAACUGACGCUGAUGCUCGAAAGUGUGGGUAUCAAACAGGAUUAGAUACCCUGGUAGUCCACACAGUAAACGAUGAAUACUCGCUGUUGGCGAUAUACAGUCAGCGGCCAAGCGAAAGCAUUAAGUAUUCCACCUGGGGAGUACGCCGGCAACGGUGAAACUCAAAGGAAUUGACGGGGGCCCGCACAAGCGGAGGAACAUGUGGUUUAAUUCGAUGAUACGCGAGGAACCUUACCCGGGCUUAAAUUGCAACUGACUGAACCGGAAACGGUUCUUUCUUCGGACAGUUGUGAAGGUGCUGCAUGGUUGUCGUCAGCUCGUGCCGUGAGGUGUCGGCUUAAGUGCCAUAACGAGCGCAACCCUUAUCGAUAGUUACUAGCAGGUCAUGCUGAGGACUCUAUUGAGACUGCCGUCGUAAGAUGUGAGGAAGGUGGGGAUGACGUCAAAUCAGCACGGCCCUUACGUCCGGGGCUACACACGUGUUACAAUGGGGGGUACAGAAGGCAGCUACACGGCGACGUGGUGCUAAUCCCGAAAGCCUCUCUCAGUUCGGAUUGGAGUCUGCAACCCGACUCCAUGAAGCUGGAUUCGCUAGUAAUCGCGCAUCAGCCACGGCGCGGUGAAUACGUUCCCGGGCCUUGCACACACCGCCCGUCAAG